GAUUAGCAAAAGGGUGAUGAUUCAAUUAGAGGUGUGAAUUCUCUAAUGAACUUUUGAACUUUAUUUGGCAAAAAAUUCUCUGACCUUGCUGGUC